AUUCUGUGAGCAGGAAAGCAGGGGACCGCAAGGCCUUGCGCUCUUUGAGCGGCCGAUGUCAGAUUAGCUAGUUGGUGAGGUAACGGCUUACCAAGGCGACGAUCUGUAGCGGGUCUGAGAGGAUGAUCCGCCACACUGGAACUGAGACACGGUCCAGACUCCUACGGGAGGCAGCAGUGGGGAAUUUUGGACAAUGGGGGCAACCCUGAUCCAGCCAUGCCGCGUGAGUGAAGAAGGCCUUCGGGUUGUAAAGCUCUUUCGGCCGGGAAGAAAUCGCAUGGGCCAAUACCCUGUGUGGAUGACGGUACCGGAAUAAGAAGCACCGGCUAACUACGUGCCAGCAGCCGCGGUAAUACGUAGGGUGCGAGCGUUAAUCGGAAUUACUGGGCGUAAAGCGUGCGCAGGCGGUUUUGUAAGACAGGCGUGAAAUCCCCGGGCUCAACCUGGGAACUGCGUUUGUGACUGCAAGGCUAGAGUACGGCAGAGGGGGGUGGAAUUCCACGUGUAGCAGUGAAAUGCGUAGAGAUGUGGAGGAACACCAAUGGCGAAGGCAGCCCCCUGGGUCGAUACUGACGCUCAUGCACGAAAGCGUGGGUAGCAAACAGGAUUAGAUACCCUGGUAGUCCACGCCCUAAACUAUGUCAACUAGGUGUUGGGUGGGUAAAACCAUUUAGUACCGUAGCUAACGCGUGAAGUUGACCGCCUGGGGAGUACGGCCGCAAGGUUAAAACUCAAAGGAAUUGACGGGGACCCGCACAAGCGGUGGAUGAUGUGGAUUAAUUCGAUGCAACGCGAAAAACCUUACCUACCCUUGACAUGCCAGGAACUUGCCAGAGAUAGCUUGGUGCCCGAAAGGGAGCCUGGACACAGGUGAUGCAUGGCUGUCGUCAGCUCGUGUCGUGAGAUGUUGGGUUAAGUCCCGCAACGAGCGCAACCCUUGUCGUUAAUUGCCAUCAUUUAGUUGGGCACUUUAGCGAGACUGCCGGUGACAAACCGGAGGAAGGUGGGGAUGACGUCAAGUCCUCAUGGCCCUUAUGGGUAGGGCUUCACACGUCAUACAAUGGUCGGUACAAAGGGUCGCCAAGCCGCGAGGUGGAGCCAAUCCCAGAAAGCCGAUCGUAGUCCGGAUUGCAGGCUGCAACUCGCCUGCAUGAAGUCGGAAUCGCUAGUAAUCGUGGAUCAGCAUGUCACGGUGAAUACGUUCCCGGGUCUUGUACACACCGCCCGUCACACCAUGGGAGCGGGUUCCGCCAGAAGUAGGUAGCCUAACCGCAAGGAGGGCGCUUACCACGGCGG
rnacentral:rRNA from 1 species